GCCAAAAGUACAAAGGUUUAGAAGGGGAGCUGGACUGACUCAGCCUGCCCUGUUGGAGGUUCUGUCCUCUGGCCACCAAAUGCAAAUCCCAGGUGCUUCAUGCACCAGGCUGGGGUGUAACCUGCUGUAAUCCACCUUUGGUGGAGGUGAUGCUCUGGAGGAUCCAAUGGGACAAGGAGAUGAAGAGUCCAGAAUGGGAUGGAGGACAGACCAGGCGGAUCCUUCCCUGGAGGCAGGGCCUCAAGGUCAUUGAGCUUCAAGACACUUUGUCAUCAUUGCCAUUAUACUUGGGGCCACAUCAAAUGCAUGGGAUGCUGACUCUGUGAGAUCUGUGAUCCUCUGGUAUUAUUCCUGGUCUGCGCUGCCUCUAGGCAUUUUGGAGCAGUUGGACAGAAGGUCUCCGUUCAAAUCCUGCCUCUAACACAGAGACUCUGACUCUUUGACCCAGCACAAAUCACUCCGACUCUCCAAGACAGUAAGUUCCAGGACAUUUGCUGAUCUGUAUGGGGAGAGGGCAUGUCUCCACCUGUGAAGUACCCACACUGAUGAAAUCACCCCUUCCAAGGUUGUUGUGAGAUAGUGGUAUAUGGAAAACACUUCACAACUGAGAGCCCUAUUAUAGAAAUGAUUGCUAUUAUUAUCCUACUACAGUCUUACAAAUGUAAUUACUUAAUUGUACUCUUGAGUUUCUCCCUGCUGGCUAGAUUGUAAGUUACUUGAGGUCAGGACCAUGGCUUACCCUUCUUUUGCAUUAUUCCACAGUGCCUAAAGCGGUGCUGAACAUAGAGUUUAGAGCUUGAAUUGGCAAAGGAGACGUGAUAGUGUCCAUGUGCUAACUCCCUCCUCUAAAUUAGCA
rnacentral:lncRNA from 1 species